rnacentral:rRNA from 1 species
GACGAACGCUGGCGGCGUGCCUAAUACAUGCAAGUCGAGCGAGACUCUUCGGAGUCUAGCGGCGGACGGGUGAGUAACACGUGGGCAACCUGCCUGUAAGACUGGGAUAACACCGGGAAACCGGUGCUAAUACCGGAUAAUCCUUUUCCUCUCAUGAGGAAAAGCUGAAAGUCGGUUUCGGCUGACACUUACAGAUGGGCCCGCGGCGCAUUAGCUAGUUGGUGAGGUAACAGCUCACCAAGGCGACGAUGCGUAGCCGGCCGGAGAGGGUGAUCGGCCACACGGGGACGGAGACUCGGCCCAGACGCCUACGGGGGGCAGCAGUAGGGAAUCUCCCACAAUGGACGAAAGUGUGAUGGAGCAACGCCGCGGGGGCGAUGAAGGCCUUCGUGUCGUAAAGCUCUGUUGUUAGGGAAGAACAAGUACCGGAGUAACUGCCGUUACCUUGACGGUACCUAACCAGAAAGCCACGGCUAACUACGUGCCAGCAGCCGCCGUAACAC